GACAGAGGCCUCGAGCGUUAGGCGGAAUCACUGGGCUUAAAGCGUGUGUAGGCGGACGAGUAAGUACCUUGUGAAAUCCCACGGCUCACCCGUGGAACCGCUGGGUAUACUGCUCUUCUUGGGCCACUCAGGGGCGACUGGAACAAGCGGUGGAGCGGUGAAAUGCGUAGAUAUCGCGUGGAACGCCGAAGGUGAAAACAGGUCGCUGGGAGUGCGCCGACGCUGAGACACGAAAGCCAGGGGAGCGAACGGG
rnacentral:rRNA from 1 species